UAUCUCUGUAGAGUCUGCAUAUCAAUAAGCGGAGGAAAAGAAACUAACUAGGAUUCCCUCAGUAACGGCGAGUGAAGCGGGAAGAGCUCAGAUUUGAAAUCUUCAAGGUUCUACCUUGACGAAUUGUAGUUUAAAGAAGUGUUUUCUGUUGGAGUUUUGGUAAAAGUUCUUUGGAAUAGGACAUCAUAGAGGGUGAGAAUCCCGUAUUUGACCAUUAUUUCCAGCUUUGUGAUACACUUUCAAAGAGUCGGAUUGUUUGGGAAUGCAGUCCAAAAUGGGUGGUAAAUUUCAUCUAAAGCUAAAUAUUGGCGAGAGACCGAUAGCGAACAAGUACCGUGAGGGAAAGAUGAAAAGAACUUUGAAAAGAGAGUUAAACAGUACGUGAAAUUGUCAAAAGGGAAGCGUUUGACACCAGUGUUGUUUUCUCGAAAAUCAAUUAAAAAAGGUUGGAUUUUGUAUUGUUAAGACCUUAUCAGCUUACUGUACUCUUUUCUUGUCUUUUUUAAUGCACUUUUCGUUUAACAAGUCAACAUCAAUUUCUUUUGUUGUAAAAGAGGUCAUUGGAAGGUGGCUUUCACUUCGGUGAAAGUGUUUAUAGCCUUUGGCCUCUGCAAUCGGAGAGAUUGAGGUCUGCAGCGUAGAUCCUUCGGGGUUAGAUACAUUUGUGCUAAGUUAUAGCCUUUCAUAGACAACUUGUUGACUAUGAUCAGUCAUGUAGCUUACUCGCUUAUGCUAUUUUACCUACGCUUAGGAUGUUGACGAUCAGCUGAGCGCG
rnacentral:rRNA from 1 species